UGUUUGGGUUACACGUGCCGAGGAUUUGGACUUGUGCCCCCUCGCCAUGCUUCUUCCUCCCUACUCUCACAUCCAACUCCCACCGUCAGCGUGCUUUAAAUAAAGAGAAAACAAAAUGAGCGCCAAGGAGGAAAAAGGGACUUAAAACUUGGUGUGGGGUAAAGGGAACACUCGGGGAGAGGAAAAAAAAAUCAAACGGACGAACUGAGACCAGGUUAAACCCGAAACGAGAGAAGAUGAAGAAAACUUGGACAGUGAAAGGGAAAGAAAAAUUCCUCUCUCCCGCCUGGACAUUGACCUUCACCAGGCGCCAUUACCCGCCCCGCUGUUCCCGGGUCCCUUUUAAGUUCUCUUUCCUCGUCAUUAACGGGGAGGCGGGGAAAACAAAAAUAAAUACACUUUUUUUUUAAAAAAAACGUUAAAUUAAACUCCGGCGGCUAGUCGUCGCCGUCAACCUCAAAGGCCGCCCGCGCACGCGUUGAAGGGAAAAACUUUGGUCUCCAAACUCAAGCUCCUUCUGUGUCUAAAACAUCAUUGAAUGGAGGGAGAGAGAUACCUAAAUUCGCUUUGGCUCAGUGGCCUCCUGGAAUGAUACUAAUGAUUUUCCAUGUUUGCAAUGAGGAACAGAGGUCCUAAUUACAGGAGCCCCCAAUAUCAAAGGAUAUUCAACCCAAAAUGCUCUCAAACCUUGGAGAUACAGUUGACAACCUGUACUCUCCAACUGAUGGUAAGUUUUUGGGUGUUCCAUUUUGUGCUGUGGCUAAAGACUUAAAUAAAUCCCUUGCUUAAUACUUCUCUUCAUCCACCACCAUAUUGCCUGUGCCACCUCCACAUCCAAGGAUUAAAUGAAGAAGCAGUGACAAAAGAAAGUCAGAAGCUGAAUAAGUAUACUUCAGAAAAAAAUGAGACCUCAACAAAAAAUGAUUUCUUAAGAUGAAUUUCUCUGAAUAUAAUGAAAUUAUUUGCUAAAAUUACUUUUUAUUUGAUUUUUGUAACAUUUGUUUUUUCAAUAAAACUUUGGAACUUACAGCUACAGU